rnacentral:tRNA from 1 species
ACUUUCAACGGAUUGUAGCAAUCCCCUAAUUUUAGGCAUUACCCCCUCUUGGUGCAACUCCAAGUGAAAGUU